CCCUUAGAUGUUCUGGGCUGCACGCGCGCUACACUGAAGCUAUCAACACGUUUUCCCUCCCUGAGAAGGGCGGGUAACCUUUUGAAUCAGCUUCGUGGUAGGGAUGGGGGCUUGCAAUUGUUCCCCGUGAACCAGGAAUUCCUAGUAGACGCGAGUCAUAAGCUCGCAUCGAUUAAGUCCCUGCCCUUUGUACACACCGCCCGUCGCUACUACCGAUUGAACGUUUUAGUGAGGCAUUUGGACCGACGCAUCUCAGUUUAACCGCUGGUUUGUGUUGGAAAGACUUCCAAACUUGAGCGUUUAGAGGAAGUAAAAGUCGUAACA
rnacentral:rRNA from 1 species